UUGCACUGCAAAUUUAGCAAACCUCACAGCCUGUAUUUGGAAUCAAGCCCCAAAAUGAUUCAGCGGCAAAACAAACUCUCUCAUGGUCAAGGUCCGAAGAAUCAUUACUGGAUUUAAACAGAAAACAAUGACUUCCUUCAUGUGUCUAAAAUUUGUUUGCAGCCAACGUUGCUUAU